rnacentral:lncRNA from 1 species
CUAUGAUUUCGUCUUCCACGAGCUCAUAUAUGAUACCAAACGGUCCAAAGAAGACACAAAACAGCCACAAGACGUCACAAAACAGUCCACAACAACAAGACACUAAAAUCGGCACAAGAACACAACACAAGAAACGAAAUGCAAUAUAUUAAAGAAUAAAUAGAUUGAAAAAGGAGUGUAUAGACCCUAAGAACCCUAAGAUAUAUUAAAUCUAAGGACCUUACAACCUACACAAACUAUCACCAAUCUCCCACGUAGACACAAGAUCGGAGUCCACCUCCCAAGCAUCGACGUUUCUAAUCAAAAUACAACCACUAGUGAAUCCACACUAGUUUCUUGUCCUAGUUUCAGUUUGCCUCAAAGGAGAGAGGACUUGAUGUUUCAAAAGUCAUACAAGACUUACAAAUAUCAUCUAAAAUCUAAGUAAUGAAACCCUACAUUGUUCUUUAUAUAGUGUAUUACAUAAUAGAAACUAAAGUGACCAAAAGGCCCUUGAGUGUGAGGCGCCUAUCAAGUGUAGUCCAAGUGUAGUGUAUGGACGGUUUUGGUGCAUCAUUAGGUCCUCUUUGGCUCUUCAAUUGCACACACCAAGUCUCGGGUCCACCACGCACUCUCAUAGGUCCAUAUCCGUGAUUAUUCUUGUAUCAUCCUCUCCAUCUUGAGAGGAAUUUGUCCACAAAUUCACGGCUUCACCUCGUUCAAUUGGUCAUUUCAAAAGAAACAUACUCAAAACAGUCCGCAAAAACACAUGAGGAGCCCAAUAACACAAGUCUCGGUCAACAUCUUCAUUUUGAACCUCGGUUUCCUCUCCAUCUUGAGCCUUGUCUUCAAUCUCAUCCGAAACACAUCCCACCUCUUUUCUUGGUGGCGGGUUCCUUGUGGUUCCCUACGUCUUCCCCUCAACUUCCCUUCCAUUAUAUAAGCAUCAUUGUAGGCUCCAUGUCCCUCAUGUUCCUUUCUACCAUACUCCUCUAUAUGGACAUAUCGGUUUUGGGGAAGUGGAGUUUCGGUUGAGAGGAUUGUUUUGGUAAUGUGAAGCUUCGGUUGUGGAGCUUGGAUGGGAGGAAAUUGGCUUCCAAGUCCUUCUUUUUGGGCUUGAUCAAAUUGACGGGGAAGUGACCUAUUUAGGUCUCGGAUUGGAGGGCAUUUGGUGGCUUGGGUUAUGUCUAUGUCACUUGGUGGUGGUCUUGGAGGAUUGAUCGUUUGAGGUAAAGUUUCGGACGAGAGUUCCUUCGACUCUCCACUUGUUCCAACCUCUCAAGUAUAGUAGACAUAUCCGAGCUAAUUUUUUCAAGGCCCGCAUUCGCCUUAGCCAUGUCUCGGGAAAUAGCAUCAAGGUGGGCAAAAAUGGCUUCCAUUAUGGCCAAGAAGUUACCUACAAAACAGAAAACAAGUUAGUUGUACAAAGGGGUGACGUGGCAGCCUUUGAUUGGUUGCGGAUAGUGACGUGGCAAAUUUGGAAUGGUUGUAGAAUUUGCAAAAUUUAGUGUUUUUCCAACUUGUGGAUGAGUGAAUUCGGUUUUGGAGCUUUUUCCACAUUCAAAAUAGGUUGACUUUCUUUGCACCUUUUGGGCAAAACACCUUUUUGAAGGGUGAUUGGCUCUUUCCUCUUUUGGUUAGUCUGGAAAAGUCCCCUUACUCCCUUUUGGUAACUAGUCUUUUUGAAAGCCUUUUUGUCCCUUACUACUUUGGUAUAGUCUUGGAACAAACAAGAAGACUACACUCUUCCAUUUGGUCUUAAGAUCAACACUACUUAUUGAAGGUUCUUCUUGUCACAAGACAUGAAGAUUGACCAAGAACACCAAGAACCUUCAACAAGAUUUGAAGACCAAGGUUCAAGUUGAACCUCCCAACAACAACACCUCUUUCAAACACAAAUCCACAACAACAAUACCAACAACACACCUUUAAACUUCAGAUUUUCACAACCACAAGACACCAAAAACGUUCAAAUUUGAACCCACAACAACAACACCAUCCACACUUUGGCCCACCCUUUGAAUCCGCACAACAACAACACAAAAAAGGAACCCAACUUGGAUCUUGAUUCUAAUAGUGAUAGUGAAGAAGAAACUAACACCAGCAACACUCAAAACAAACAAGAGACUCCUAGAUCUAUGUUCAAAGGACAAAUCUCGGCCAGGCCAAGACAACAACAAGAACAUCAAGUCUCGGUCAAGAACAAACUCAAGAACACUACUAUCUUUUUUUUAAUUUUUUUUUUCAACUCACAAGCCCCAAGAUUGAUUUUGUUGGAACAAAAUCAAUGAUGGCUCUAAUACCAAAUGAUACCAAACGGUCCAAAGAAGACAAAAAACAGCCACAAGACGUCACAAAACAAUCCACAACAACAAGACACUAAAAACGGCACAAGAACACAACACAAGAAACGAAAUGCAAUAUAUUAAAGAAUAAAUAGAUUGACAAAGGAGUGUAUAGACCCUAAGAACCCUAAGAUAUAUUAAAUCUAAGGACCUUACAACCUACACAAACUAUCAUCAAUCUCCUACGUAGACACAAGAUCGGAGUCCACCUCCCAAGCAUCGACGUUUCUAAUCAAAAUACAACCACU